rnacentral:tRNA from 1 species
UGGCUCAGUUGGUAGAGUAUGAUGUUUGCAACGCCAGGGUUGUGGGUUCAAUUCCCAC